UACAGAGGGUGCGAGCGUUAAUCGGAAUUACUGGGCGUAAAGCGAGCGUAGUCGGUUGGUUAAGUCGGACGUGAAAUCCCCGGGCUCAACCUGGGAAUUGCAUUCGAUACUGGACAGCUAGAGUUCGGCAGAGGGAAGCGGAAUUUCCGGUGUAGCGGUGAAAUGCGUAGAUAUCGGAAGGAACAUCAGUGGCGAAAGCGGCUUCCUGGACCAGAACUGACGAUCAGGCUCGAAAGCGUGGGGAGCAAACAGG
rnacentral:rRNA from 1 species